UACGGAGGGGGCUAGCGUUGUUCGGAAUUACUGGGCGUAAAGCGCACGUAGGCGGGACGGAAAGUCAGAGGUGAAAUCCCGGGGCUCAACCCCGGAACGGCCUUUGAAACUUCCGUUCUUGAGGUCUGGAGAGGUGAGUGGAAUUCCGAGUGUAGAGGUGAAAUUCGUAGAUAUUCGGAGGAACACCAGUGGCGAAGGCGGCUCACUGGCCAGAUACUGACGCUGAGGUGCGAAAGCGUGGGGAGCAAAC
rnacentral:rRNA from 1 species